GCGGGCCCAGCCGGCGGCCGGCAGUUACUGUAGAGGUGCCGGCCGCGUUGCAGACUUGCAGUGCAGGUAGUGCACCACCACCGCUCCGGAGUUCAAGUCACCAUGACGAUGGAGAUGUUGUCUGAGAUCCUAGCGAAGUUGGAAGAUUUGAGCGCUCAGUGGCCGAGUGGCGCAGCCGUGCUGAGCCAUCGUUCAUCGACUCCAUCCUCCUGUACAUAUCGCCGACACCGUGGAUUCUGGACGAGAGUGCCGCACCUCCAUGGUCUCCAACAACGAGUCAGCGAUGGCAGGUGGUCUCCUUGCCAUCGCCCACGUGUUACCCACCCUGGGCUACACGCCUACACCACAAGUCAUCAACUCCGCGGUUCUCAUUACCUCCUCCGAGCACGCCGAGGUGAUGCACCCCAACUGUUUGACGCCGAGCCUGCAUCCUCGCCGCCAACUCCGACGACUGCGAGCUCGAGGUCGCGAUCUCCACCACCAGCAUGGACAUCAUCCCCGCUGUACCCGUCGCCGGCUCUAACAACCAAGAACGUGAGGUCGAUAUUCCCACCAGCUGCGAGCUGACGAUGCCCUCCUCGGUGUCAUCCACUCCUUUCACAAAAAAACCUUGCUCAUGCACGUCAAGUGUUCGACACUAGGACUCUACUAGGCUGUCUCGACAACAUCCACAGCACCCUCAGCCUCUGCUCCCUCACAAGUCACAGCACGUCAACCUUGCUGAAGCCUAUGCCUCUACCAAGCUUGUCCAGGUGAUGCCCGCUAGGUGUUUGAUGCCGGGUCAUGGAUGCAGCCUGUGUGUUCCAAUGCCAGUACGCAAGUCAUCCACCGUACUGACUUUACCUGCAGUUCUGCCCUGUCUUGGCACCAUCCCUUGCAAUGCACACAAGGUGUCCGAGGUAAUGCCUGUCAGCCCCUAUGUUCUCUUAGUGACUGUUAGUGAGUCACAUGGCAUUUCCCAACAUGUCAUCAAUGAGGUGGGCGAGUUAGUCAGUGAUCAACACACUAUACAGUGAAUUUCUGCCAUGGAUUAGGAAGUUUAACCCCAAAGCGUCCAUGGCUUUUUAUGCACUGAAGUUUCUGUGCUUUGCCAUGACCUACAACAGCAACAGUCACCUUCUUUCAAGGGUCAUUGCAUAGAAAGCAAAUCUAAGCUGCUAUCAUUGCUAUUGGUUAUUUCUAGAGUGGCUGUGCAUCGACUGUUAAUUGACUGGCAAAGCAACCAUGGCCACCACCUGGUCUAGUGGAGAUUUGGAGCAGUAACACAGUGGUUACUCCAACCAACACCAUGGCAAAUGUUAAAUUGCUGUCAAGUUAUUAUACAUCUCCAAUGCAAAACGGAAGCGCUCCAGUUAUGUGUUUUUUGUGGGCCUGCAAGGUCAGAGAGAUUGCUACUUGUGAAACAUAUUCAUGGCAAAAUCUGCAAAUACCAGAGGCAUCCAGAGAACUGUGAACUGUUUGUCAUAGUAGACACCUUAAUGGAUGCUGUGAAAUGUUUCAAUCAAACAACUAUGCCGUUCUUUGGUGCCUGAUAUAUUGCAACUUAAAAGCCAGAGGCCUAUUCUUUACUCUGCUAAGGACUGUCACCUGAACUGAUGAUGUUCAAUUCAAGUGAUCAGUUCUUUUUUCAGUGGCAUUACAAGAGAAGCUGCAGCUGUCAUGGAGUGUGCCAGGCACAACCGAAUUUUGGUAUUGCCCUAACUCAUCUCAGAUACUGUGACACAAAUGCUGGUAUUUUGCUUGAUUUUGUUGGCAGCUUUGAGCAUCAUGAAUGCAAGUGUCUGGGAAUCGCUUAUGUAAGAGGAGAAUCAAUUACCGAAAAUUCAGAGCAACAAAAGGGUCUCGCACAUGAUGGGAUAUCCAUGCUGUGUGUUUCAGAUUGGUCAGCUUCAGUGCUCAUAUAUUAUGAUCCAUUGAGAGGUCUAGUGUUGGCCUGAGAAGUGACACAUAUCAUGAGAAGGCGUGCUCCUCACCGACAAGGACUAAAAAUAGUAUAUGCUAAAUGGAACAUCGAGAUAUAAUUUUUUUCUCGAACGCGCAGGAGAGCUGCACAUCAUUAUAUUAAGGAGAAAAGGUCCAAAAUGGACAAAAACCGACACAAUAGUGAUCAUCUGUUACACAAAGAAAAGGCGACCACACACACCACUCUACUCCGGCCAGAUGGCAGCAAGGCCCUUGGCACCAUUUGACCCAAGUAACAUACAGCAACAUUUGACCCAAGUUUACUGCUGGGACAAGCAUAUGCCACCCAAUAUAUGGUGGUUAACCUGGAAGGAUUCUCGGAUCUUCAGAAAAGGGUUGUGGAAAACUAACUAAACCAAGUUAGCACUUUAAUUGAUUUUGUAGUGCAGACCCAGUUGUCCAACUAAGUUUUAUUUCACUCCUUUAGAUGGGUGGUGGAGUACUCAAGUAUACCUAGUUUUGGAAUUCCUCUCUAGUCUAACAAGCAUUUGGGUUUGAGUAAAUGAUAUUUAUCUAUUCUAUGUUUUGUUUUGUUUUUUGACACUUUGGUUCAUGUCUUGUUCUGGUGUUUUUCAGCUUUCAUUCUGUUAGAGUGUUAUUUACGUUGCUGUGUAUAUCUCCCUUGUAAUGGGCCUUGGCCUACAACACUCAACUAUAUAUAUACACUCCCAAGCCUGGUUAGGGUUAGGGUUUCACUCUCCAACUCAUUCAGUACAUCUCAAUAAACGAUAUAAUUAUCAGAAAAAGGUUUGUGCUUAACUUAGGAAAAAAGAACAAGGAAAAUAGGCUACUAAUUUAUCUGAAGUAACAGAAAGGGAUGUGAGUUCUAUAGAGUUUAUGUAGAGAUAUAUCAUUGUUUUCAACGUUUUUGGUAGAUUUGCAAAUCAGUGUAAUACAAUUAAGAAUGCUACUGAGUAACUCCUAACAUUUAAUACUCUUUCUGAGAUGCUGAUUAACGACAUUGAGGUGAGUGGAUUAUUAUCCUAUUAUAUUGAACAAUCCUUCUGUCAGCGUACUCAGCUUGCACCAUAUCACAUCCAACAUUAUUUAGGCCAGUAACCAAAUUCUCAUAGGACAUGUAUUGCUUCCUUCUUUUGUAAAGCAGCUUAUGUAGUCUUUGGUACAUAAUGCAAGUUAUGUCGGGUGAAGCAAGGAUAAACUAUUUGAAGGAUAUAUCCUUUUGACUAUGAUUGAAAGGGUGGGCUGUAUUGUUUGAUGUGACCUGUGUAUAACAUAAAAUAAGGAGGAUGACUAUGUGAAACUUAAGUAUAAUAGUUUCUGGACUUUGAUUCUUAUCCAGCAAGUUGAGUGACUAGAGAUCCUGUGCUUACUUGUGAUCUCUUCAAGACAUCACUACUAUUUUCAUUAGAAUCAAUUGUACAUUCACUCUAAUAUAAUGUUGCUCACUGCUUCCAGAAUUCUGUUUCUGAAUGCCAAGCAUGUGGUACAAAAUUUAGGAGCAUAUGACCUGUAAAGAGUCAAUCCAGAUAAUAAUGAUCAGAUGCAAUUAUUCUCUUCGAUAUGACGACGUGUUUACUAUGAUUCAUUCAUAUUUGAUAUUGCAUUCCGUUCUAAGGAAAAGAGCUUACACUUCAUUUGUUUCAAUCCAAAUGUUUAUUUCAGGCCCAACUUGGUGAGAAUCUUCCCGUUCUGGGCUAUGCAGUAAUGGUCAAAAGGUUUUCUUUAAUGGUUAUAUAUCAUGCUCGCUCUGAUUGGCAGUCAUCGUCAUGGCUGAGCGGAAGAGAAUCCAUUCUCCUGAGAUGUGAUACUUUUGUUGAGUUUGGCUUUUUGAAAAGGGGAAUCAAACUGAUUCCUCAAAAGCUACCUUGUACUCAACUGAGUUUCAAGUAUUUGGAAAACUUGCCGUUCUAUUAUCGUUUCCUAUUUGAACUCAGUUUGGAGUUGCACUGGGAGGAUUUGUGUGCUUUGGGCUUGGAGAACAUGAUACCAGUGGCUGUUACCUAUUGCUUAAAGUAUCUGGACGGGUCAAACAAAAUGGAUAUUAUCUGGAAGAGUUCUAAUGCCCUGCGGGUUUGGUUUGCUCACUGAAUCAUUAAGCAUGCAUGACUGUCUUCCAGAGUAGUGCACCAGUAACUAAGCAGCAUAUUCAGGUGAACUGGACUUCUGACUGGCACUGUGACAUUUUGGUCGCUUUGUGUUUGGUCUGUAAGGACAGUCUCACUCAAGUGUGUGCUUUAGGUGAUGGUACCUUUUGUGAAACCAUGGGGAACCUUUGCAGUAAAACCAUGAUAGCAUUGAAGAAUGGCGUUUUAACCCAACCAGAAGGGAGGUCACUGCUCAGAUCUGAUGGUCACAUGGGCAGGAUAUCCUCAUUUGGCUACGGCCAAAUUUUGUGAGUCGUUUGAAACUUCAGAGGUGUCAAAUACAGCAACCACUUGGAGAUUAAAGCCGAUGUUUGAGUUUGGUGAAUUGCUUUGGUCCAGCUCAAAUAUACCUGUGCAGUUGUGCGUCAGUGUCUGUUUAGUUCCCACGCCAAUGGUCAGCUCUGCAAUUUGCUCACCUUUCUGGAAAAUGCUGGGUGAUGUACAUCAACAUUUCUAUGUCAGAUUGGUAUGGUUGUGCUGUAACCACUGCCAUCCUGGUUAGUGGUGCCAGAUAUUGCAGUGUAAACAACUACUACAUAUGUUCUGAUGGCAUCAGGAGACCUGUAUCAUCGGGCGUACAACUCCCACACAGACACAGCAGGGCCAGCCAAAUUGGCUGGCUCACUUUGAUUGUGGGGCGUUGAAGCAUUGUUGUCAACAGUUGGUCCUAGCUUCACUUGCUGGAUAGGUGCUGAUUCAAAAGGUCGUUGUAGUGCAGCAUAUAGUAGCUUUGUACAACCGCACAAGGGCAGGGAUUAUGGAGGGGCCCAACAGUUGGCAAAGCUUAACAUGUCGAGCCAAUGACAGCUCCCGACCUUGGACAAGAACAAUCUUGGAGGUUUGCUGCGGCAGAAAUGGUCCUCCCAGGCACACAGCGCAAAGCCAGUGCAGUGCUGUCGUUUUCUUCCGGGAAAGAAGCUUCCUUUCCUCUAAUAACGCCAACUUAAUCUGUGAUUAACUUCUCCCUUUGGUGAAGGGGAAGAUGAAGGGCCAGAGAGAGAGAGAGAGAGAGAGAGAGAGAGAGAGAGAGAGAGAGAGAGAGAGAGAGAGAGAGAGAGAGAGAACUGGGAAGGUAUUCAUCAGUUCCUUCAGGGGCAAGCUCUAAUUAUUCGGCGAGCUUAGGAGUCACGUCUCGGCAUGUGAUUCGGUAUCGGAGGCUUGAAGAGGACAAAGCCACGAAGGGAAAAAAAAAGAUACAUACAUGCUUAGAUGGUCUCCACUCUCCAGCAACACACGGGACCAUACGUGUUUAGCUGGACCAUCAUCGAUCACCGUGUCUCACCGGCACGCAGUAGGUGUGCUGCGACCUGCAUGCGAUGGUGGACCAUGCAUAGUCGCUAUCCUCUCCGGUCAGGUGUGUAAAGAUGUGUUGUUUUAAAUUAUAUUAUGACGUGACAUUGGUGUCUGAAGAGUCGAAAUCGCUACUGAUUGCUGUUAGAGCUUAGAGUCUGAAGGGUGUAGUUAGCGGAAGUGUAAAAAUUAAUGUUUGGCUAGCUCGAGCGC
rnacentral:lncRNA from 1 species